UAGUGUAAUUGUCACCACCAUUGGUGGUAAAAAUGGACAAGAUAAGCAGACAGUGAGUUACAUGGCUGAACGUAUUAUCGGACAAGGAUCCUUUGGAGUAGUGUUUCGGGUAAACUUGGCAAUAACUGAUUAAAAGCUUUCAUCUUUUGUUUGCAAAAGCAAAUAAACAACAUUAUUUUAGACUUGAAGCCACCCUGUAUAACAUUACUAAUUUACUAAUGUUGGGAUGUCUAGGCAAGGUGCUUGGAAUCGGGUGAAAUUGUGGCUAUAAAGAAAGUCCUUCAGGAUGAGAUACAGCGAGUUGCAAACAAUGUGCCUUUUGGGUCAUCCAAAUGUUACCUCUUUGAAGCAUUGUUUCUUUUCCACAACUGGGAAGGAUGAGCUCUAUUUUAAUCUGGUGCUUGAGUUUGUCCCUGAAACUGUUCACCGUGUCAUCAGACACUACAACAAGAUCAAUUAGAGAAUUCCAUUGAUAUAUGUAAAGCUAAGCUGUACACAUACCAGAUCUGUCGAGCAUUGGCUUACAUUAAUGGGACUAUUGGAGUAUGCCAUAGAGACAUUAAGCUUCAAAACCUAUUGGAAUGGUCUUUUAAAGUUUUUCCCAUUUGAGUAUUUUUAGAAUUAACUUGUUGUACAAAAUCAAUUUUUCCUUUUGUUAUUCUCAUAUCAUCUUUUAUUUUUCUAUUGUUAUUCUCAUAUCAUCUUUUAUUUAUUCAGGUCAACCCACAUAUACACCAAUUAAAGAUUUGCAACUUUGGAAGUGCUAAAGUCUUGGUGAAAGGAGAGCCAAAUAUAUCUUAUAUAUGCUCUACAUACUAUCGUGCACCAGAACUGAUAUUUGGAGCAACUGAGUACACAUCAGCAAUUGACAUUUGGUCUGCUGGUUGUGUUCUUGUUGAACUGCUGCUUGGAGAAGAUUACACUUCAAAGGCCCAAAUCAUCAUCUAAUUUUAAUCAAGUUGAAGAUUCUGGAACCAGUUCUUCUCUAUGAUUUUCUUUAACUUGAUCUAAUUUAAUCAAAUUUUGUUCUGCUUAAUUAUUGUUAAUAUAAUCUUGUUAUUGUUCUUUGAUGAUUUCUCUCAAUUGGUUAUUAUGAUUUAUCAAUGGGGAGUGAAGAGAAAGAAGUAGGUGGGUGUUUAAUCUGUUUAUUAAAUUGGUGGUGAGAGGGAGCGAGUAGAGUGAGAAUUUGACCAAGCAAAAGACGAGUUUAAUCAUUUUAUAAAUUUUAAUCAAUUUUUAUAAUGUUUAAUUAAUCUCAAAUGUCAUCUCUCUAGGUCGAAUAAGCUUUCUGAAAGAAUAUUGAACUAUUGAAGCUUGUGAAAAGCUUUGCGACAUUACUCACUCUUAUCUUGGUCCUAAUGAUUAACAGGGAAGACGGAGAACUUGAAUUGAAACUGAAGUGAUAAGUUAAGUGACAUUUUCUGCUCGUUAGGACCUUUUAAACAGAAGCAUCAAGCGAGUUUCACGCUCCUCCAAGACCUUUAGUUUCCGAGGGGAAUGUCUUCUUUUAGCAUAUCAUCUUCAAAGAAGAAAAAAUGCCAAUGUGGAGUUCCAAUGGCAAGACUUUUUACAGAGAGAAAGAUGAAAAAUCAAUGGAGAGAGAAGAUAUUACAGAGGAGAGAGAAGAUAUCGAAGAGGCGAGAAGAAAUUGAAGAGGAGGAAGGUGAUAAAUUGAAUAGGGAAGGUGAGAAAGGGAGGAGAGAGAGAAAUCGUGAGAAAGGGAGGUGAGAAAGGGCCCCACAACCGUUUUCCGUCACCGGAGUCCUGAUUAGUUGGGUUCUAAGGUGAAUAUUAUUGUGGGGUCUCAUGUUUGGGUAGAAGACCCAGAUAUUUGUUGGGUUGAUGGAGAAGUGAUAAAAAUCAAUUGUGAAGAACUUGAAAUCAAAACUUCAAGUGGGAAGCAGGCUUGAAGCACGCACUCUGAAUCCUCCAUUGGUCCAGCUUCUAAUAAGCUCUUUUGGCAAGCCGGAGAAUAAUUUGUUUGCUUUCUGGCCACCGUCAACCAUCUGUUCAACAAAAAAGCAAGAUGACAAGACUUCUCUCAUGGCAGCAAGAGGGUUUUAAUAUCUGGUUGAUGAAUAACACUUUCUUGUGGAUGAACAAGAUGUUGAUGUCAGAAGCAAAUAUAAGGGACCAUGCCUCACUAAUCACUAUCGACCUCACCCAAAUCGACUGGGACUCUGGUUUCAAAUUCCAGAAUUCAAGCUUCAAUACAGUGUUUCUUCUUGUUAUAGCUAAUGAGGAGAUUCCUUUCUCUGCUUUGUCGGAUUUCGGGGCGAAAGAAAGGGAGAUUGAGAAAAGUAUGGAAUAGUUUACUGAUUUUCCAGCUCGGAGGAGUCCAAACACUCCUUUUCGGGUACCUGUUCUCGUAGUUGGGCUGCAUCUGCUCUUUAAUAUUGGAGUAGAGUGAUACCAAGAAGAUAUUAGCUGUGUCCAUAUUCUUUGAGACCAUGCCAUAUAGAUUGGAUGAGAGCACAGGUUACAUAGACUAUGAUCAGGAAGAAGCCCUAGAAUGGAAGAGAUGCCGGAGAGCGUACGGAGCAGUUUGGGACAUAGCAAAUCCACCAAGGGGUCCUCUAACAGUGAGGUUCUUCUUAGAUGGAAGUGUAAGUAAGAGAGCUAGAUGGGUUUUGGUUCCUAAAGUCAUCCCUACUUAUUGGCGAGCUGGUGCUGCUUAUGAUACUUCUAUUCAACUUAAAUAGAUACUUAAGGACUACUUUAUUCAUAUUUAAUUAAUUAUAUAUAUGCUGGAUUCUUAAUUAAGAUCAUGCAUCAUUGUAUGAUUUUGUGGAGCAAUCUUACUUAAUUAAGUAUUUUUUUUUUGUUUUAUUUUAAAAUCCACAAUUGGCUUCUUUAAUGAGUGAGGGGUUUGUAUUGUAUAUAUGUAUUGUGUGAGAACCAUGCGUACUUUAAAUCGUUAGUUUAAUUCUGCCAUGACUGUA